CCAGACUGAUGUCCGUCAGGUUAGAGAGACAUUGUUUGUUCUCCAGACUGAUGUCCGUCAGGUUAGAGAGACAUUGUUUGUUCUCCAGACUGAUGUCCGUCAGGUUAGAGAGACAUUGUUUGUUCUCCAGACUGAUGUCCGUCAGGUUCGAUAGAGACAUAGAAGUGGUGAGGAGGGCGCUGGGCCAGCUCUGAAGAGGAGACGGGAACAGCUGGACUAUCUGCAGUCUGACCAGUUCCAGAGCAUCCUCAGCGCCAAGUCUCGCCACAUGGGAACCCUGCAAGCGGCUGAGUUUCAGAUCCAGGAGCAGUACUUCGAGCCCCUAGUGAAGAAAGAGCAGAUGGAGGAGAAGAUGAGGAACAUCCGAGAAAUUAAGUGCCGAGCUGUCACCUGUAAAACGGUGAGGCAACAGUGUGUGGUUUUAUUCACCGGUGAGGCAACAGUGUGUGGUUUUAUUCACCGGUGAGGCCGCAGUCUGUGGUUUUAUUCAGCUGUCUCAUACACUCAGUGAGCACUUUAUUAGGUAUUUAUUACUUUUUUAUUUUAUUACUUCUUACAUCUUCUGCUGCUGUAGCCUAUCCACUUAGAGGUUUGAAAUAUUGGGUGUUCAGAGAUGCUCUUCUGCAUACCACUGUUGUAAUGUGUGGUUAUUUGCGUUACUGUCACCUUCCUGUCAGCUUCACCCAGUCUGGCCCUUCUCCUCUGACCUCUCUCGUUAACAAGGCAUUUCUGCACAUAGAACUGCUGCUCACUGGAUGUUUUUUGCUUUUGCAUACCAUUCUCCGGAAACUCUAGGGACUGCAGGAGAUCAGCAGUUUCUGAGAUACUCAAACCACCCUGUCUGGCACCAACAAUCAUUCCACCGUCACUGAGAUCACAUUUUUUCCUGCAUUCCGAUAGUUAAUAUGAACAUUGACUGAAGCUGCUGACCCCUAUCUACAUGGUUGUAUGCAUUGCACUGCUCCCACGUGAUUGGCUGAUUAGAAAAACACAUUAAUAAGUAGGUGUACAGUGAGUGUAUGCUGUAGAAAAGUGAUGUUUGCACAUUUGUUUGUUGC